rnacentral:lncRNA from 1 species
CACUGAAGAGGACUGGAAGGUCUGUUGCCCCUGCAUAGUUUUAUAGAGAAAGAAGAAAACUGCAGUUGAAUGAAUGUGAGUUAGUAACAGAAAGUUCAACAAAUCCUAGUGAUGUGGGUCAGGGCAAUAAUUACAAUUCAAAUAUUCUAAAUAUAAAUGGUGGAUUCUUUCAAAAGAUUGCUUUUCCUUUAAACAGAAGAAUUAGGACAUAGUGGUCUGUGCUCUUGACAUUCUUUUGUAAGACUACUUUUAGAAAGAAAAUGUAGAAUUUGGAGCCAUAACAAUUUGAAUUUAUAUCUUUACCUCUGCCACUUGCUAAAUACAAAGUGAACUUUGAUAUUUUCUUUCAGCACCAAUUUUCUCAGAUACAAAAUUUAGUUAGUGUUACCUAUUAAGAUGAGUGACUGUGAGGAUUAAAUUUGUCCAGGGUGCACAAGCAGUUCUGUCUUGCAUAUAGUUGGCCCCUGAAAAAUAGGAUAAGAUCUUAGAUAAGAUCUGUCCUCUGUAAGUGCUUUGAGGAACUGGAAGGGGCUUCAUUGACAGUAGUUGGUGUGAGUACAUGCACACAAGUGUAUAUUUAUGUGUUUCUUCAUUUGCAUAGGCUCAUUCACUUGCACAUAAAUGCACAUGCAUUUUCUAACUCUUGGAAGACCAUGGAAUAAAGCUUUAUGUUUACAGAAAAUUAGUUUAAAGAAAG